GAUGAAGAACGCAGCGAAAUGCGAUAAGUAGUGUGAAUUGCAGAAUUCAGUGAAUCAUCGAAUCUUUGAACGCACAUUGCGCCCCCUGGUAUUCCGGGGGGCAUGCCUGUCCGAGCGUCAUUGCUGCCCUCAAGCACGGCUUGUGUGUUGGGCCCCGUCCUCCGAUCCCGGGGGACGGGCCCGAAAGGCAGCGGCGGCACCGCGUCCGGUCCUCGAGCGUAUGGGGCUUUGUCACCCGCUCUGUAGGCCCGGCCGGCGCUUGCCGAUCAACCCAAAUUUUUAUCCAGGUUGACCUCGGAUCAGGUAGGGAUACCCGCUGAACUUAAGCAUAUCAAUAAGCGGAGGA
rnacentral:misc_RNA from 1 species